GAUGAAGAACGCAGCGAAAUGCGAUAAGUAAUGUGAAUUGCAGAAUUCAGUGAAUCAUCGAGUCUUUGAACGCACAUUGCGCCCCCUGGUAUUCCGGGGGGCAUGCCUGUCCGAGCGUCAUUGCUGCCCUCAAGCACGGCUUGUGUGUUGGGCCCCCGUCCCCGGUUUCCCCCGGGGACGGGCCCGAAAGGCAGCGGCGGCACCGCGUCCGGUCCUCGAGCGUAUGGGGCUUUGUCACCCGCUCUGUAGGCCCGGCCGGCGCCAGCCGACACCCAACUUUAUUUCUAAGGUUGACCUCGGAUCAGGUAGGGAUACCCGCUGAACUUAAGCAUAUCAAAAGCGGAGGA
rnacentral:misc_RNA from 1 species